UACAGAGACCUCAAGCGUUAUCCGGAAUCAUUGGGCGUAAAGCGUACCGAUAGGUGGUUAUACAAGUCAGAUGUGAAAUCUCCGAGCUCAACUCGGAAUCUGUCUUUUGAAACUGUAUGACUAGAGGGGCAAAGAGGAAGCUGGAACGAACGGUGUAGUAGUGAAAUGCGUUGAUAUCGUUCGGAACACCAAUAGCGAAGGCGGGCUUCUGGGUGCCACCUGACACUGCUAGGACGAAAGCGUGGGGAGCGAAUGGG
rnacentral:rRNA from 1 species